GUGCCAUGAAAAUUUCAUUAAUUUUUGAUAUUAAAAUAUUCAAUUUCUGAUUUAUCUUCUAAGGCAAUGCAUUUAAUAAAGAGCCUUCUUUAAGGACUCUUUAUUUCUGAUCCAAGUUGGAUAAGGAUCCAAUCCAAAUUGACCCAAUCCCAUUAGAUCAAAGCCAACUGGUCUAGGUUAGCUCAAAUACUUUGAACCAAAC
rnacentral:lncRNA from 1 species